GCCAGCAGCCAUGUCACCCUGCAACUCACAACUGGCAACCCACUGAAGCUAAGCAGGUGUGAGACUGGUCAGUACCUGGAUGGGAGACCUCCUGCGAAAAACUAAGGUUGCUGCUGGAA
ensembl:rRNA 5S_rRNA 5S ribosomal RNA